ACGCAUCUGAUGACGUUUUGGGAUUCUGCUAUGAUAGUGAUCCAGUCAACACACCUAGGGUUAUGAAUAUGGGAUGAACAAAAUAUAUAACAAUUGUGUGUUUGUUUUGUUUUUAGAUCAAAGACACACUGGACUAUGUGCUGUAUCCACCACGGGAAACAGAACCCCGGAUUUUUUCGUCGAUGAAGAUUAGUGUACAGCUAUGGUGUUAGUGCCUGGUGGCACAGUGUAAAGUGUAGAUAUAGACUAACAGUGGUGGACAGUAAAUGCACUUAAUAAUGUCAAAGACAUUCAAGUUUGUAAAGGCAGCACAUCCAUCCAUAUCACAAAGUAAUCCAUCCCCAAUAAACUGGUAACUAUGCGUAAUUUGUCAGGAAGACACAAAUAAGUCCCUCCAAUGUCCAAGUCAAUCAAAACAACCAGAAAAACGGACUUCAUACAAGUCACUGGCUAAAUACCUAAUCAGGUUUCAUGAUCUAGGAGAUCUACCAAGAACCUUACAGUUGGCAAGGCUAGAUGAGGGUCAUAGUAUUGAGGAGAGUCUUUCAGCCAACAAUAUCAAGUGACAUAAAAUAUGCAGGCUGCAAUUUAACAAUACCAUGCUGAAAAGGGCAGAAAAGAGUCAACUACAAGGAAGUGCUCAUGGAAGUAAAGAUGCAGCAGGUAUCUAUAAA